GCCAGGCGUGGUGGCGCAUGCCUGUAAUCCCAGCAACUUGGGAGGCCAAGGCAGGAGGAUGGCGAAUUCAAAAGCCAGCCAGGCCCCAAGAAACUCAGUGAGACCCUGUCUCUA
rnacentral:sRNA from 1 species